UGCUGCCCACGUGAGGAAUACCUCGCUAGUGUCAUUUUACGGAGGGAGAUGGGGAGAUGGGGUAAAGAAGAGAGGACAUAACCCUGCCAAUUGUGGAUAUGGGGUUCGUUCGUUCAUUCAUUGAUUCAGCCUGCCAUCAAUAGAGCUAUGCUUAGUACCUGGUGUACUAACUAAGUUCUGUUUAGGGCAGCAAGACAGGAGGAUGCAAAGACGUCGGCACCUCGGUGACUUCUUCCUCUCUUCUAGUCUGCCAGCCUCUCAUUCUCAGCUUCUUUGGGGAAGUCUUACCACAGGCUGCUUGUUACACAUUUCACAACACAUGGCUGAGUCCAGAUUCCCGUACAGACAGCUCUCAUCAUCGAUCCAAAUACGACUUUGUUGCUGACAUGGUUAGAGUGUUUAGGCCUAGGACGGCUGCUUCUGUUGUAAACAUGGAAACCAUCAGUAUACUCUAAGCCAUACAGAGACCAACAAUUAUCACAGCAUUUACUUGGUGUUAGGUGUUGCAAGCAACCUGGAGCCCCAGCCAUGUCUACCCCUGGAGCCUUGCAGGAGUCAGCAGAGGAAAACAUAGGGUAGACAUUCUACAGGCAUGGGCAAAGACUUCCCGAGAAAGACUCCAACAGCUCAGGGAACAAGAGCAACUGUUGACAAAUGAGACUCCAUAAAAUUAAAAAGUCUCUGCACUGUAAAGGGAACACUCAGUCAAUCUCUGACUCUCUCAAACCUUGCUGCCAGAACCGUAAACUAUAACCGGUGUGCUGAAAGACAACUUGGCCGGUUUUUUUAGGAGGUUAAACAUACAUUUACCAUGAACCCAGCCAUUCUUCUCCUGGGCACUUACCCUCAAGAGAUGCAUGCCCGCAUUCCCACACAAACCUCUGUGUGAUUGUUUUUGGCAGCUUCUUUAGGGCAGUCCCAAAGUGGAAGCAGCCCACAGGUUCUGCCAGGGCCAGGGGAGUGGAGAGCUAAACAGGCAUAGCCAUGCAGGCUACUCCCCAGCCUGAAAGGGGCCCAUAUGCCUGGACUGCAGCAGCACCGAAGAACACUGAGCUGAGUGGAAAAGCCAGGCUCCAAGGGUCACAUAUGGUGUCCUUCCAUUUAUAGAAAAUGCCGCAAGUGACAAAAUUACAGAGAGGCUAAACGGACCAGUGUUUGCCAAGGGUGAGGUUUGGAGACUAUUACUAGCUUUUUUUUCUUCUUUUUUUAUGAAAGACAACUAGAGGGUGACUAUGUGGUGACCAAUCAGUAUUGUGACCUGAUUGUGGUGACCAACACCCAAAUCUAUAUGUGUGAUGUAAUUCUGAAAUACCACACACACACACACACUCACCUACUGCCUAUGCAGAAACCAUUAAACUAAGCAUGACCCUUAGUUGAGUUGGUAGUAUUUUAUCAAUGUCAAUAUAUGAUGUUUAAAUAAGGCUGCAUAUAUGUUUUUAAAAGUUUUUUUUAAUUUUCUCUUAACAGGGGACCAAAAAUAGCGCUACUAAAAUCUGACAUUUUAAAAUCUAAACUAUCUUCUAUAAUAAAACUAAUGUAUUUAUUGAAUUCUUUGA